GGNAUCAUUAUCAAAGUUGCAAAACUCCAACCCUGUGAACAUACCUCAGUNGUUGCUUCGGCGGUUUUUUUCAAAAAGCCGCCGNAGGUUCCAAAACUCUUGUUUUUAUCAGUGNAUCUCUGAGCCUAAAAACAAAUAAUCAAAACUUUCAACAACGGAUCUNUUGGUUNAUGGCAUCGAUGAAAGAACGCAGCGAAAUGCGAUAAGUAAUGUGAAUUGCAGAAUUCAGUGAAUCAUCGAAUCUUUGAACGCACAUUGCGCCCGCCGGUAUUCCGGCGGGCAUGCCUGUUCGAGCGUCAUUUCAACCCUCAAGCCCAGCUUGGUGUUGGGGCGCCCGGCCGCCUGGCGGUCCGGGGCCCCCAAGUGUAUCGGCGGUCUCGUCGGGACUCUGAGCGCAGUAACUCGCGGUAAAACGCGCCUCGCUUGGUCUGUCUCCGGCGGGCUCCAGCCGCUAAACCCCCUUCUCUCCNANAGUUGACCUCGGAUCAGGUAGGAUUACCCGNUNAACUUAA
rnacentral:rRNA from 1 species